rnacentral:rRNA from 1 species
UCAAUAGCGUAUAUUAAAGUUGUUGCGGUUAAAAAGCUCGUAGUUGACCCUCAGUUCCGGACUGACGGUGCACCGCCCGGUGUCUCUCCGUCAUGCUCCGAACAGCAGGGACGACCCUGCCCGGCCGGCUCGCACGGGGUGCUCUUCAUCGAGUGUCCCGCGUGGCCGGCGAGUUUACUUUGAAAAAAUUAGAGUGCUCAAAGCAGGCUACUCGAAUGGCCUGAAUGGUGAUGCAUGGAAUAAUGGAAUAGGACCUCGGUUCUAUUUUAUUGGUUUUCGGAACCCGAGGUAAUGACUAAUAGAAACAGGCGGGGGCAUUCGUACUGCGACGCUAGAGGUGAAAUUCUUGGACCGUCGCAAGACGAACUACUGCGAAAGCAUUUGCCAAGGAUGUUUUCAUUAAUCAAGAACGAAAGUUAGAGGUUCGAAGGCGAUCAGAUACCGCCCUAGUUCUAACCAUAAACGAUGCUGACUAGCGAUCCGCCGGCGUUAUUCCCAUGACCCGGCGGGCAGCUUCCGGGAAACCAAAGUCUUUGAGUUCCGGGGGAAGUAUGGUUGCAAAGCUGAAACUUAAAGGAAUUGACGGAAGGGCACCACCAGGAGUGGAGCCUGCGGCUUAAUUUGACUCAACACGGGGAACCUCACCAGGCCCGGACACCGGAAGGAUUGACAGAUUGAGAGCUCUUUCUCGAUUCGGUGGGUGGUGGUGCAUGGCCGUUCUUAGUUGGUGGAGCGAUUUGUCUGGUUAAUUCCGAUAACGAACGAGACUCUGGCCUAUUAACUAGUCGACGGAUCCCAGCCAUUGGUGUCCAGUUCGCAACUUCUUCUUAGAGGGACUAGCGGCAUUCUAGCCGCACGAGAUUGAGCAAUAACAGGUCUGUGAUGCCCUUAGAUGUUCUGGGCCGCACGCGCGCUACACUGAAGGGAUCAACGUGUUCUCCCCCUCCGAGAGGAGCGGGUAACCCGUUCAAACCCCUUCAUGAUAGGGAUUGGGGCUUGCAAUUGUUUCCCAUGAACGAGGAAUUCCCAGUAAGCGCAAGUCAUCAGCUUGCGUUGAUUACGUCCCUGCCCUUUGUACACACCGCCCGUCGCUACUACCGAUUGAAUGAUUUAGUGAGGCCUUCGGACUGGCGCUCCUGGAUGCUGGACCUCGCCUCUCCGGAGGGGGGCCCUCGCCUCGAGCUGACGGAAAGAUGUCCAAACUUGAUCAUUUAGAGGAAGUAAAAGUCGUAACAAGGUUUCCGU